CAAACCGCAUUAUGUUACAACCCAAAGUUCACUUAUCCCACAUCCAACCCAAACCUCAAACCUAGUAUGCUUUAACCUUACAAUUACAAAGAAUUUUCUCUUAAUCACACUUAGAGUUUCAAUUUCAACCUUCUUAAAUCUCUCAUAGUAGUAUCACACAUUCUUCUCAUCUUCUUUUCCAUGUAGGUCUCGCCUAUUCUACUCUAAUAAGUCAUCUAUUAUAUUCU
rnacentral:lncRNA from 1 species